rnacentral:rRNA from 1 species
GAUGAACGCUAGCGGGAGGCCUAACACAUGCAAGCCGAGCGGGAUUUGUUGGUUAGCUUGCUAACUAACAAUGAGAGCGGCGUACGGGUGCGUAGCACGUGUGCAACCUGCCUUUAUCUGGGGGAUAGCCUUUCGAAAGGAAGAUUAAUACCCCAUAACAUAUUGAUUGGCAUCAGUUAAUAUUGAAAGCUCCGGCGGAUAGAGAUGGGCACGCGUAAGAUUAGCUAGUUGGUGAGGUAACGGCUCACCAAGGCUGCGAUCUUUAGGGGGCCUGAGAGGGUGAUCCCCCACACUGGGACUGAGACACGGACCAGACUCCUACGGGAGGCAGCAGUGAGGAAUAUUGGACAAUGGGUGAGAGCCUGAUCCAGCCAUCCCGCGUGAAGGACUAAGGACCUAUGGUUUGUAAACUUCUUUUAUACAGGGAUAAACCUACUCUCGUGAGGGUAGCUGAAGGUACUGUAUGAAUAAGCACCGGCUAACUCCGUG